CAUAUCAAUAAGCGGAGGAAAAGAAACUAACAAGGAUUCCCCUAGUAACGGCGAGUGAAGAGGGAAGAGCCCAAGAUUGAAAGCUGGCGCCUUCGGCGUCCGCAUUGUAAUCUCAAGAAGUGUUUUCCGCUUCGGACCAUGCCUAAGUCCCUUGGAAAAGGGCAUCAUAGAGGGUGAUAAUCCCGUACAUGGCAUGGAGCGCCCGAAGCUUUGUGAUACGCUUUCUAAGAGUCGAGUUGUUUGGGAAUGCAGCUCAAAAUGGGUGGUAAAUGCCAUCUAAGGCUAAAUAUUGGGGAGAGACCGAUAGCGAACAAGUACAGUGAUGGAAAGAUGAAAAGAACUUUGAAAAGAGAGUUAAACAGUACGUGAAAUUGCCAAAAGGGAAGGGUAGGAGGUCAGAGAUGCGGCUUGGGAUUCAGCCUUGCUUCUGCAUGGUGUUUUUCCCUGGUUGCAGGCCAACGUCGGUUUUGGGCACUGGAGAAGGGUGGAAGGAACGUGGCACCUCUCGGGGUGUGUUAUAGCCUUCCACUGGAUACAGCGACCGAGACCGAGGACAGCAGCGUACUCGCAAGAGCGGGCCCUCGUGGCACCUUUACGCUUAGGGCGUUGGCAUAAUGGCCCUCUACCACCCGUCUUGAAACACGGAC
rnacentral:rRNA from 1 species